UCAAAGUAAAGCUAAAUUAGUAUAGUAUUUCACUUACGUUGAAAAGAGUUAUCGUGCAAAUCGAUUUGCUUUGAG
rnacentral:tRNA from 1 species